rnacentral:rRNA from 1 species
UACGAAGGGUGCAAACGUUGCUCGGAAUUAUUGGGCGUAAAGCGCACGUAGGCGGCUUGGCAAGUCGGAUGUGAAAUCCCACGGCUCAACCGUGGAAGUGCAUUCGAAACUGCAGGGCUAGAGUCCUGGAGAGGAAGGUGGAAUGCUUGGUGUAGAGGUGAAAUUCGUAGAUAUCAAGCGGAACACCGGUGGCGAAGGCGGCCUUCUGGACAGUGACUGACGCUGAGACGCGAAAGCGUGGGGAGCAAACAGG